rnacentral:lncRNA from 1 species
GUCUUGGUGACUCUUAUGCAUGAGAUGUCUAGAGAGAUAGUAGAAAUUAUUAAGGUCAAGGAUGGGAUGGAUAGCCAAAUCAUGGGAUUGAAAUGUUUGGAAAUUGGCUAUUGAAACUUCCUUUCCUCGUCUGGGAGAUGAUUCCUUCUCUAUCUCUAAGAUUUUUCUAUGAAGACUAGUACAAGAAGGAUGUCCACGAAUGAAGACAUACCUUGCUUUACUAACAGAUAAAGAAAGAAAAACUCUACCAAAGGGUAUAUGAUUAAGACCAAUGUGAAAAUAUCAAGGAAAAACAUGGUCUUGUAGGGCUAGGUUUAAACCAGAAUUUAUAGAAAGAUUAACAGAUUCCCUAGGUGUAGCUAAAAGUUCAUUAUCUUUUUGAUUAAAAGAUAGGACCUCAGCUAUAGAAAAGGGUUGGUUUUGACCUAUUGCAAUCAACUCCGGACACAGAUCAUAAUUAGGGGUAAAGAAAGGACUUGUUGACUCCCAUGGUCUAUGGCUGGUCUCCGAAGGUGCAAAAAAUUCAAGAAUAGGUGUGGAAUUUGAGUUAUCCACAA